CGGUACAACCAAAAGCCUUCCAGUGUGGGCGGGGCGGACUGGUUUAGAUUACUCAGAUCCAGUCUGGGCAGUAGAACCUGGUGUCAGCAUUGCUAGUGCAUUGACCAGAUCUGCUAGUUUUCCCUCUUUCCAACCUACCACCUGACAUUCUUGUGUAGGGCGAACACGUCGGAACGAGUAAGCCUAUUGUGUUCUUGGAUAAGUUGGUAAGAGGGAAACUGAACAAAGUGAUGCUGGAUAUUUUUCUAAUACAAAAUUGUGGGGACUCAAAGAUUAAUUGAGGGGGAGCAAAAAAUACAAAGUGAUGUGAUCUUCUUUAAUCACAAGCUGAAAAAGUGACUCAUCCUGGCUACCCAUGAGUUUCAGGAGCUUAACUAAUCUUAGAUAUUUUCUGUUCUGAGUUUCCCUAAUUCAAUCUUUUAAGGUGUGCAUGGACUUUAAAUGUAUUGGUGGAUGUUGUGCUGAAAUAGACAGGCCUGGGCAGAAUGCCUUAGAACAAGUAAAAGAAGAAACUUUGUGAGUCUCCUUGGAGCAGCUUCUAGAGAAGAUCUCUGCUAACUCCCUUCCCAUAUGUUACGGUGGAGGAGACUUUUCUCAAGCAGAAAUGACAGAAGGGACCCCUUUGUAACAUGAGCAGUUCUGCAGGGGAAACGGGUCUCCUUGUGACUCUGGAGAUAAGAGGCACAUUUAUGACAGUGCCCUCUGGUCUUCGCAGAAGACACUCCCUUUGAGCAGUCCAGUUUGAGUGUUCACAGAAAACUGUGUGUGAGUAAUAUACUUCUAAAAAUACCAUGUUGGCUAGUGGGAAGAGAAAUGCAUACAAGAUAAAGUCACAGCGGAAAUAUAAUAAAAGCAUGAUUAUUUUGGCAAAAAUGUUAUGCCUAAGCACGCAUGUGCUUCUUAGACUCCACAGAUUAAGUCCCCAUGAAGAUGAUUUAGGGGAUAGCUGGUCUCUUCCUUAGCUAGUUUAUGGGCCUGGAGAAUGUACACCUCCUCUGACCUUACCUACUAACUCUCUAGUUGGCUUUUCCAAUGCAGAAACUCAUAGUACGUACUACGAGUUGUGUGACUUCAAGAUAGAUGGACAAGUUGGUUUUCUCCACGGCCAUACCUAGCCUCUGCUCAGCACCUCUUACAGGUGCUGCAUAAGUCAGAUAAUUGAGAAGUUCCUCCUAGCUUACUCUGUUUUUCCUCACAUGAUUAGUUUUUUGGUGACUAUAUUUAUCUGUAACUUAGAACCACUCAAUGAGUUAAAUGACUGGGUGGAGGUGAAUGACAUCCCACUCAUGGAAAUAGACAUGAAAUAUGGAAUUUAUAAUGCAUGUGGCUAGAUGAAAAGACUCUGCAAACCAAUCAAGGUUUUGAGUUUCUUAUUGAAUAGAUCUGUGCCAUUUCCACUGCCCUUCCUCAUGCCAAGGGCUGUUAGCAGCAUUUCUGGCACAUGUCAGCAAUGCCACUUAAUGUGAAUGCCUUAAUGAUCCUUCCUUGGGGGUGUUGCUGGUGGUUUCAUGUUUCUGAUGUCCAGACCAGAAUACUCAUGAAACUCCAGCCACAGUUCUUCUGUGCUCUCCAUGACCUGUGCUAUGUCAGUUAGUUUAACACAUAAAUUCAUAUUCAGCAGAUUUAGAGACUUAUGUUACAACUCCUUAGAGGGCCUGACAAUGGUAUAACCUAAGUAGGUACCAAACCCUGCUAUGUGGUAGAGUGCAUAAUUUGGAGUAAGAAGUGUGUCCCAGGUUCCCCUUUUGUAACUCUGUGACCUCCAUCCCACGUAUUGACUGUGCCUUGUGCCAGCCUUGGACCUCUGAAGGUCAGCCUCAUCCCCGGUCAACCUCAGGACUGCAUCACUGGAUAAUUUGCCCAAGAAAUACACCACGAGUUCUCCUGGAGCUUGCUUUGUGCAUCAUGUUACACUAUUGCAAUGGAAAACAGAAACUCCUCUGAUCUUUCCAGAAGCUGAACUUCUGCACCUGUCAGGGGGCACAUCCAUGCAUGUGCAAGAGCACAAUCAGGCUCUCAGGCUCCUUCCCACAGACACACACACUCUAACGGGGGAGAGGCCAAGGACUUUGGACAGGUGUAGAGCCAUGCACAGAGCCACUGUUCUGGUCCUUGGACCUGUGCCAGCCUCUCCACCCCAAGUAGACGUGCAAUAAUGUGUUUUAUUCUUCACAGGCAAAGCAGAUCAUGGAAAUUAUUUUAUGAAAAGUACCUGGGAGUUUUGCCAAGCUCAUUUUUGGUUCAUUAUACCAUCUAUUAUUAAUACAUUAUCACACAAUGAUCACUUGAUCUGAUUUCUUUACCCCGUGCACACGGUGGUAGUUUUUCCCCCGAUUUUUUUUUUUUUGUGGGCAGUGUCACUGAAUCAUGGUCAAUGCUGAAUUUUAAAAUUUGUUCAUCUGAGUGUUGGCAGAAAGAUUCUUUCUGAUGAAUGCAGGUCUUCUGAGCAAUUCUUAUAGGUUCACCUUUCAGAAGGUAGAAAAAAAGAAAAAAAUCACUAUUGUCAACUGAAGACUUGAGAAACUGGGAAGAAAUGUGAGGUGCAGUGAAAUGGUAAAGAACGUUGGAGAAAUUAACCGUGUCAUCUUAGAGUUCAUAAUAAACUAGGAGGAAAAUUCAGAGAAUAACAUAACACAGAGAUUUUUAACUUAUUAGAGAAAAAAUAGGUAAAAUUUCAUGGCUGGAAGCUUUAAAAAGUAAAGAUAGCUUAAAAGGAAUUGAUGAUACCAUCUUAAAAGACUUUGAGUAAAAGACAGUUUAAGAAACUAGUGUAUCAGGAAACAGCUCGGUGUCUACUUUUAGAAGGAUUUUGACCAGAAAAAAGGAAGGAUCAGUACGUAGAGAAGAAUCAAUUUUUACAGACCCAUAAAGGGCAGUGUCUUCCAAAAAGAUUCAAGCGUGGCCCUAUUUUACUCAUCUUCAUAACUCCAGCACCUACUAUAAUGUUGGAGACACCACGUUUCUUUCAUUGAUCCUACAGCUUGAAGAAAUUUUAUCCCAGGUCCUUACAAUGCGUUGCUGAUGUGAUCCCAGCAUCACUGUGGCUAACAUGUGAUGAAACACAGAGAGUGCCAGGGGUGUCAAAAGGUGCAAGAAUGUGGCGGAGACACCUACCUGACCACCUCAAUAGCUAAGCUCUUUUUCUUCUUUAGUAACGGAAUUCUGAUUUCAGUGGGUGGAAGCAAUGCAUCUAACAAAACGUACAUUUUCCAACCUCUUUUACAGCUUGAUAUGGCUCUGUGACUAUAUUCUGGCCAAUGAAAUAUAAGAGCAGGUGUUGAGGUCGGCCCCAUGGCCAAGUGUUUAACUUCGCAUGCUCCGCCUCAGCGGCCCAGGGUUUCACCGCUUCGGGUCCUGGGCACGGACACGGCACCGCUCAUCAGGCCAUGCUGAGGUGGCAUCCCACAUAGCACAACCAGAAGGACCUACAACUAGAAUAUACAGCUAUGUACCAGGGGCCUUUGGGGAUAAGAACAAAAGAAGAUUGGCAACAGAUGUUAGCUCGGGUGCCAAUCUUUAAAAAAAAGAGCAGAUAUUAAUGUGUCAACAUGAAAUAUAAGAGCAGGUCUUCUGGUUGGCCUGAGAUCACUCAGCUGGAAAGAGUGGCCCUUUCGUCUCUGCUAUUCUGACUAAGUCCUUAAACCAUGCCAUAGUCUAAAGGACGGAAGUCAUAUGCUGAAAAUAGUGAAGGAUAGAGAUUGAAACCUGGACUCUUGAUGGCUCCACGGGCCAUCACACCCACCUCUGAACUGUCUACCUCUAGAUUUCUUAUAUUUCAGAGAAAAAAACCCACUUCUACGUGUUUGAUUAAGAUUAUGUUAUUUUGGAGUACCUGCUAGGCAGGUGAACCUAAUCUUAACUGAUAAAAUUCCCAGAGACUAUAGAUGUAUUUCAGGGACUAGAGACAAGUGUGUGUAACUCCCAGGAAAAAAAAAAAUCCUUAAAAAUGAAUUCUAAGCCACCUUGAAGGUCCUUAGGGAAGGAAACGGUGAUUUACAGGAGAUAAGGCACAUUCAAAAAGAAUAAUUAUUGCUAAAUUACUUUGAUUUUUUGGACUUUGUUAUGAGAUUGGUAGCUUUUAUUUAAUAGGAAAUAUUUUUAGAAGAUUUACUACUUGGCAGGUGCUGUUUUAAGUACUUGACGCUUAUUAUCUUUUAUAAUCAUCACAACAGGUACUAUUAAAAUCUUCUUAUUGAAAAUGGUGAAAGGGAGGCACUGAGGUUUAAACAACUGGUUUGAUGGAACGCAGUUAUUAAGUGAUGGAGACAAGACGCAAGCUGAAAAAGUGUGCAUUCAGAGGUCACCGUCUUAACUAGUAUACUACACUGUCUUUUAGGGGAAAGACACAGACAAUGAGUAUACUUUACAUUUUAGUGCCAUUGAAUGCAAUUUCAUAACAGCAGGGUAGAGAAAAAUGAGAUGUGCAUUUAGAUAAAUUCAAGAUGCACAACCAAUGUCAACCUGGAAGGAAGUCUCAUGGUCCUUGUCAAGGUCUCUUACUCAAUCCACUCCUUUUUAAGAAUUUUGUUAACGACUGUGGACAUAGAAGAUAUAUUUGUCAAACAUGCAAGAACCCAAGUAAGUUUAGCCUGGAAAAGAGAAGACUCAUGGAAACACGGGAGGUCUCAUCAAAGGCUUAGGUUAUAAUUUUAGACCUUUAACAGCUUCCAACAUCAUCAGUUUAAUGUCCCUCAGGGAUGGCGGGAAUGCAAAGUGGUACACAACCUAUAGAGACAAUAUUUUGCAAUAGUGCAAUAUUUGACAAUAUUGUGAGAAAUUAUAUAUGUAUCUACCCUUUGAUCCAGAAAGUCCACUUCCAGGACGUUCUUGCACAGAUACACUGGUGAAAAUGAAAAAAGCUACAAAACAAAUGGGCACAAAUUCACAAAGCCAUCCACUGAACAGUAAUUACGUAUAACUUGGUUUCUUUAACAAAUAAAAUUGUAAGGAAAAAAUACAAAUGAGAUGGACAGGGGUAUCUACAGGCUAAAAGAGACUUAAGCUGUAUAUUACUAAUUAUAAUAGUAGGCCCUUAUUUGUGUCCUGAUUCAAACAAGCAAACUCAGAGAGAGAGAGAGAGAGAGAAAGAGUGCAUGUGCGUGUUGGAGAAACGUGAGCAUUGUUUGCAUAGUUUAAGAUAUUUAGGAAUUAUUUUUAAUUUGGGGGAGAAAAGUAACAGUAUUGUGGUUGUAACAAAGCCAGAGUCCUUAUAUUUUAGAGAAACCGUGAAUCAUUAUGGAUGACUUUGUACAGUAUCUGAAAUUUGCUUCAAAACAAAUCCAGGGAGGAGGGAAAGUGGAUAAAGCCGAGACGAAACCAGACUGACCUUAAGUUGAUAUAUUUACAGCAGGGUGUGGCCUCCAGGGGCAUUCAUUAUUUUAUUACCUCAACUCUUGCAUAUGUUUGAAAUUUUCCAUAAUAAAAAGUAAAAAACAACUCUCUCAAUUUAACAUAAACUAUUUUAAUUUGCUAAAAAAUUUUCAACUUGAAAUGUACAGAUGCAGAUCUUUGAAAAAGGCACUCACUAAGAAGAAAAAAAACUGAAAUCUUUAGGAAAGGCUAAUUGAAUUUAAGCACUGGCCCGACAUUUGGUUUGCAGUAGAGCUAAGGAGCAAAUUCGGGACUCUGGAAACCUAAACUUAACUUCAGAGCUCUUUCUGCUUUAUGGCUGACUUUCAGUCAAAGGGCACUGAUGUCAAAGAGAGUGCGCUGUUUUUUGGGCGGCUAAAGGGGAACCAAUCAACCAAAGUUAUAAAAAGGUAUAUAUAUUUUUUUGUUUUGUUUUUGUUUUUUGUUUUUUGUUUUUGAGGAAGAUUAGCCCUGAGCUAACUACUGCCAGUCCUCCUCUUUUUUGCUGAGGAAGCCUGGCCCUGAGUUAACAUCUGUGCCCAUCUUCCUCUACUUUAUAUGUGGGAUGCCUACCACAGCAUGGUGUGCCGAGCGGUGCCACGUCCAUACCCAGGAUCCGAACUGGCGAAUCCCGGGCCGGUGAGAAGCGGAACAUGCGAACUUAAACACUGUGCCACCGGGUGGCCCCUACAAAGUUGUCGGUGACAUGAAUCUCGGCUCCAUUCUACACGGAGUAUUUCUGAGCUAAUUCUCACAGCCCCUACAUUUCAAGAGAUGAACAUACACACCAGAAGGACAUUACAGGAAAAUUGGAUUGCUCGACUGUGAGUGAGAUAUGGAAAGGCCUUUUCCCCACCAAGCAGCAGACGAAAUUGUAACAGAAGAUUAGCCCUGAGCCAACAUCUGCUGCCAAUCCUCUUUUUGCUGAGGAAGACUGGCCCUGAGCUAACAUCCAUGCCCAUAUUCCUCUACUUUAUACGUGGGACGCCUACCACAGCAUGGUGUGCCAAGCGGUGCCAUGUCUGCACCCGGGAUCCGAACCGGCGAACCCUGGGCUGCCGAAGCCAAACGUGUGAACUUAACUGCUGCACUACCGGGCCGGCCCCAAUCAGAUUCUUUAAAAAGCUACAUAGUUAACAUGUUUUCAUGCGUGGUUUAGAGCACAUCUGGUUUGUCCCUGGGGAAAUAUCAUCCCAGCUCUAGAGUUCUGCCAGAUCACUGCGAGGGCCCCGCCCACCUUGCCAAUCUCCAAGCUUUCAAAGGUCUCUGUCCAGCGGUGGAUCAAACACCUAGUAAUGCAUCCUGGGAGCAGAGAGGCUCCAGUCUCUUUCACAUUCAGUUAAAAUAAGGAGGGAUGGCAUCUAUGAAGAUGCGCACACCCAAUGAUGUGCAUAUGCACCACAAGAUGACAUGUGCACACCGGUGUGCACAGACCAGCAGGUCGGGGGACUCUCCAUGGCUAUCGUCUUCCUCGUAUGACUGGGAGACCCAAGCUGCUUGGAUCGUAUGGCUGUGACAUUUCAAUACCUGGUCUCCACAUUUACUGCCAACAAGAAAGCAAGGGAUGUGAAAUCACAAAGGGAGUGUUUAAUCCUCCAGCAUGGAAGUAACACACGCAUCACAUCGACUCACAUUCAUUUGUCACAACCUGCCAUAAAGCCCUUUUUACCUGCCUGAAGGCUGGGAAGUAUCAUCUUCUGUAUGUGUAGACAGGAGAGGAGAAUCAGCUACUGGCGGGCACUAAUGAGAUCUAUCACACAUACUUUAAUAAAAAUAAUUUUUAGGGAUAUCUAAUAUAAAUUAUAUGUUGUAACCAUGAUAGAAAAAAUAUUGGCUAAUGUUUGUCAUAAAUUAACGGUGGAUGAAAUCUAUUUAAGUAAGAUAAAGAAUUUAUCUAACAUAAGAAAAAAAGAGGCAACUUUAAUUACAAAAUGUUAAAAUGUUUGUUGAUUAAGGAAAACCAUAAACAAAGUCAAAUCUAAGCAAAUCAAAAUGUAAGUAACAAAAUGUUAAUCUCCCUAAUGUACAAAUAAGCUCCAAUAAAUGGAAUGGAAAAAACCCAGAACAAUGGAAAAAAGGCACGUGCAUAAUAUUUACAGAAGUGGUAAUUAAACUGAUAAUGAUGCUUAUACUGACUAGUAAUUAGUGAAACAUUUUACCCAUCAGAGCUACAGAAUUGUUCAGAUUGAUAAUUUACAGUUCCAAUGAAGUUAUGGGGAAAUAGAUGUUAGUUUCACACACUAUUGGAGGGAAUGUAAAUUACACUAAUCUUGUGGAAAGUAAUUUGAAGUGAUAUAUUCAAAUUUUAUAUAUGUCAGUCCUAUAACUCAGCAAUUCCAUGUCAGGGAAUCUACACAAAAAAAUACUUGUAUAGAGCCUGAAGCAUGUAAGUUCAAGAAUGCUCAUUUCAAUAUUGUCUGUAAUAGUACAAAAUAAGUGCCAACCUAAAUACCCAUUAAUAAGGGACUGGUUAAACAAUUCAUAGUUUAUCCAUUGCAUGCAAUUCUAUAUGCCUCCAAAACUAUAGACUUACUCCCCAAAAUGAUUGUUCAGUUACUAUCUUUUUGCCAUAAUGCCAUUUGAAAAUUUAUACCACUUUUCGGUGACUUUCAUUUUAUUUUUUUAGUAGCAGUGCUUUCACCUAAAAACCUACAAAAUAGGGGGCCGGCCCCGUGACCGAGGGGUUAAGUUCUUGCGCUCUGCCUUUGGCGGCCCAGGGUUUUGCUUGUUCGGAUCCUGUGCGUGACCAUGGCACCAGUCAUCAGGCCACGUUGAUGCGGUGUCCCACAUGCCGCAACUAGGAGCCACAACUAAAAAUAUACAACUAUGUACUGGGGGAAUUGGGGGAGAAAAAGCAGAGGAAAAAAAAAAGAAGAAGAUUGGCAACAGUUGUUAGCUCAUGUGCCAAUCUUUAAAAAAGAGAAAAAAUAAAUAAAUAAAAUAAAAAUAAAAACCUACGAAAUAAAUAUGACCUAAAAAACUAUAUUUUGACUUUAUUAUUUUAGACAAGGGCACACUCAAAAUUUACUCAAUACAAAAAUUUCUAUGCAGAGACGAUAUGUGGGACAGAUUUCAAUUGCUGUCAGAUUUGUCUUCCUUUGUAUGGGCACACAGAACACGAGGGAUAAAGAAGCAGCAACUUCUAUGACUCUGGUCUUUUAUGCACAUGUACUCCUAUUUGUAAAUGUUUUGACCCACUCUUGUGUUUAGUCUUUAUUUUCAAGUGUACUUUGAAUUAAAGUUAACUGUGAGCCCCCAAAUAGCUCAAAAACUGAUAAGUAAGUGUUGUUGUAGAAAGAAAAGUUAGGAAAAUUUUAAUCGUGGAGCAAAGGAUGAGUGAAAUAAAAGAGGAUGGAAGCAGGAGACAGAAGUAAAGAUUCUGCAGUCUUUUAGGAUAGUUCACUCUGCUUAAUACGCGAUCUUGAAUGCCUGGCUGAAGGUCGGUUACCUGAUCUCCCCUAGUCCUCCUUAGAACACCUCCCUCGCACCUCUGCUCCACCUGCCCAUUCACUGUCUGCCCCGCCUUAGUGAGUACACUGAACUUUCAUGAUGUUAUUGCAUUGACUUCCUUCAUAAAAAGCUGAUUUUGUUUUCCCUCAAAUUGUUUCUUAUUGCUUAUGUAAACUUGGUUUUAUUGUCAAUCAAUCGGUUUUUCUUCGUGAAAAUUGUUUUGGCGUCUUAGGUUGGCAGGAAGGAAAACAUAGGCCAGAAAGGAAAUCCUUGAAAGGAAUCAUAAUUUUUCCCAUUAAAAUUGAUAUAAAUAUUGCUUUUCAAUUUAAACGACUUUAUAGCUAGUGGCAUAGUUUGAGUUGUGAAUUAAAUUUGUUAAGCAGGCCAUGAGCAUAUUAAAGAAAUUUGUGCAUAAGGCUGUGCAAGGUUAUCUGUGAUUGGUAAGUGGAAAAAGAAAGUUGCUGAAUAUUAUAUGUUAUGAACUCAUUUUUGUAAAAAUGAUCUGGAAUGACAUUAUUAAUAGUGAUUAUGCCUGGGCUUCUAGAAUGCUAGUUAUUAGUUAUGAGAGAUCUGAGACACAGUGCUAAGGAUCCCAGCUCUAUAACUUGUUCACUGUAAAACUUUGGCCAACAUAGCUCUCCUCAAAAGCUUCACUUUUUUGUAACCUGAAUAUCACAGAUCAUAAUUAUUCUACCUCACAGGGUGGUUGUGAUGAUUCAAUGAGGUAAUCAACUGCCAGACACAGUAGGUGGGCUACACAUUGUAGCCAUUGUUAUUAUUUUAUGUACAUCUGUAUUGUUCAUUUAUUUUAAAAUGAACACGUCUUAACUUUGUAAAAAGAUUAAAAUAGAUCUAUAAGUUGUGUUGAGCUUUUAUUUAUUUAUUUAUUUUGAGGAAGAUUAGCCCUGAGCUAACUACUGCCAGUCCUCCUCUUUUUGCUGAGGAAGCCUGGCCCUGAGCUAACGUCGUGCCCAUCAUCCUCCACUUUAUAUGUGGGACGCCUACAACAGCAUGGCGUGCCAAGCGGUGCCAUGUCCACACCCAGGAUCCGAACCAGUGAACCCCGGGCCGAGGAGAAGCGGAACGUGCAAACUGAACUGCUGCGCCCCCGGGCCGGCCCCUGGGCUGAGCUUUUAGAAUAGGUUUUCCUAUAUCACAAAUGACUCCUCUUUCCUGAAGAAUUUGAAUAAAUGUGUAAAUUUGGAUAAAUUUGAAUAAAUGCUUAUCUGAACCAACCGUCGAUUCCUGGGUCUAGUGUUUGCUCUGUUUCCACACUCCUGCUACAGCCUGAUGGAGAUGCUUCUCUAGUUCUUGACUCCCAGGUAAGGUCUUUUCAUUUUGAGUACCAUAAUUUUAAAUGACAAAUGAAAUACGAGUUUUCUUCACAUAAUGUAUAAAUGCAUACCGAUUAAUACCAUUUAUUAAUUCUUGCUUCUGUCUCAUGUGGCUUUUUGUUUUCAUGUUUUGAGGGGAGAAGAGACUUGGCUAUGAGAACACCUUAAUGUGGAAACCCUGAGUUCGUGGUUUCCACUCACCUGUUUGCCAGCGAGGCUGAUAAAUGGUGCUGGGUAAGGAAGCUGGGAGCUUCUGGAAAUGUGACAGAAACCCUCUGUCCACCACCACACCAGAGACACGGGGCCCUUAGAGGUAAAUUCAUGAGGUUAAGGGCAAGCAAAAC
rnacentral:lncRNA from 1 species